rnacentral:sRNA from 1 species
CACAAAACAUACAUCGAGUAUAAGAGCACAAGGGAGAAUACAACUGAGGGGAGAAUGGGCCAAUAAGGCCGUUGCAGAGCGAGACAGAGAACAGAGCGAGCUCUUGGUUUCUACUCCGCCAUGGAUGUGUGUCGCUGAGCCGGCAACGAAUGCUACCAUAGGCAUGCUCUUGCAGGAUGAUGCUCCCCUCUAGCCCUUUCCCAUAUGGCUGCUUCGGUAUCUUGAUUCUACUGUUCGUCAAACGCCCUUCUCUAUGACAUCGGGUGCAAUUUCGAAGUCCAUUUGUGAUCGAGAGGUCUUUUCAUAGAGGAGCUCAACUCGACGCCGAGCAGAUUGCGCAUCGGAGUGUCUGUAUUCCAUGCCUACGCACAUAGGCCUCGUCAGAUUAGGUACAACCGCCUCCUGAAAUGGCGGCACUUUUCAGUCCGCUAUUUCAGAGGCCCAAGUUGAUCGCCUCCGACUUGUCAUCAACGAUGUUGUGAAAGGAAACAAGGAGGGCGAAGCGGAUCAGAAGCAGAUUGACAGAGUUAGUCGUUCGCUUAACAGUCACAUAAAGACUCGUUUGCGGCCGAGCAGGAUCAGCAGGAAAGAUCUUGUAAGGGAACAAGAGAACAGUAAGGAGGAUGAGAGAACGAGAGAAUAAUAAGCAGGAUGGAGAAGUAGUUUCGGAGGACCGAGGAGAAGAAGAAGACGAGGGGAAGAAAAGGAGGACCGUGCGAGGAGGCGUUAAGGAAGAAAAAAGUCCAGGGAAAACCUAGGGAAAAGAUGAGAAAGCUGAGUCAGCUCGAGGAGUUGAGAAAGAUAUAUAAGGAGUAGUCCUUAGAGUAGAUUAGAUGCAUCGGCCCCAAGCGGCCUAGUCUUCUCG